rnacentral:rRNA from 1 species
GUCCACGCCGUAAACGAUGAGUGCUAGGUGUCAGAGGCUUUGACCCUUCUGGUGCCGAAGCUAACGCGUUAAGCACUCCGCCUGGGGAGUACGGCCGCAAGGCUAAAACUCAAAGGAAUUGACGGGGCCGCACAAGCGGUGGAGCAUGUGGUUUAAUUCGACGCAACGCGCAGAACCUUACCUGGGCUAGAAAGUGUAGGAAGUCGGCUGAAAGGCUGAUGUGCCCUUCGGGAAGUCUACAGUUAGGUGCUGCAUGGCUGUCGU